AGUUUUCCUUCUGGGCUUCAAUCAUAACUGUAUUGUUCUACCUAACUCAGGCCCCGUUCUUUAUUGCGUUUUAAAUGGACUUUUGCGUUAAAAAGUCCUUUUCUCUUAAAAGGAGAGAAGAACGGCCUCCAUCUUCUCAAAAAAUUCUCCAUCUCAAACGUCAUUUUCUCCUGAUGGAGAAGUUGAAAAAUUCACCAUCUAAAAAGCUUGAAGUGCUUUUGGCUGAUAAAUGACCAAAAUAACCUGUCUUCUCCCCCUUGGAAAAACGUUAUUUCCUCUGCUGUGAAAGUUCUAUACCCAUAUUUUUCACAUUUUCGCUGUGAAAGCUCCUUCCUGUUCUUUGUUCCUCUUCCGCAGGUGAGUUCGUUUUCUUCUUCUUCUCUUUAAUUAUUAGUUAUGCUUUGUUUUUAUUUACUUUUUAAUUCUGGCUUUUGUGCCUCUUUUACUUUACUGUUUUGUGCCUCUACUGCUGCGUUGCUCUGCCUCUUUUGUUUUGUGCCUCUUUCUGAAAAGAAAAAUGCCAGGGCUGGGUUACUGAAGAACUCUCAACCUCUGAAAAAAAAACAGAGAAGAUUUUAUACUUAGAAAAACGAAACGCGAUGCAGUGGAAUUUCUCUUCGGAUUCGGUUAAAUUUCAGUCUCCCUGUUGAUACUUAAUUUCUUUUCUGUAUAUUUCCUUUUUGUUUCGUGACAAUGUCCGGCGAAACGGCAUCGUCUUCCGGAAUCAUCUUGGAAGGAAUUGAUGAUGUGGAGGACUACGUUUCGGCGAAGCCCGAUAUCAAUUGCAGCUGCUGUUAUUUAUAUCAUAACACAGCUGUCUGAUGACAAGAAGCCUCUUAGAGGUUUGAUAUUUCGAUAUCUAAUUGGAAACCGAAGAGUGUGUUAAGAACUCCAACACUUUGGUUAAAGAUGGUGCUAAAAGAGGGCUCUUCGAGUUGCCCUCGGAUCAUCAUAAGGAAUUAGAAACCGAGUUAAAGAAGAUGGCGCCUGUUUCUGCUGUUAUUUAAGUAACAUUUUCAUUAUGUUACCAUAAAAGAAAGGGGUAGUAUAUGUUGCCUCUCUAAUAGGUCUAUUUAUAUCCACUAAUUGGUAUCUAUUUUAUUUUUUUGAUUUAGAACUUUGCAUUUCCUUUGGAUGCUCAACACAUAUAUUCUUUUUUGCGUUCUUCA